rfam:Aedes albopictus isolate Foshan contig28065, whole genome shotgun sequence.
UGUUAAGUGGCUUAGUUGGUUAAAGCGCCAUCUAGUGGAUAAGGAGUCGUGGGUUCGAAUCCCACCAGAACAU